GUUCUCCCUCUUCCUCCGACUCCUCAUCUCCGUUCAUUGGCCUCACCGCACCAUCUUUGCAUCGUCGUCUCUGUCGGUCGACCAUCGGCCUUGCCUCUGUAUUCUGAAGAAACCCUAAAACAUUAGGGUCCACAGUCGAGAAAAAUUCAUCUCUGAUCUCCUCGAGAGAGUUAAGGCAUUGCAUAUUCGGGACAUGGAUGUUGUAGUUGAGCCCGGAAUUUGAUGGAUGGAACUUAAUGAAUACUUGGAGCCUUAUGGUUUAUUUUUCCCUCUUGAUCCAGGGCCUGGUGCAACAAUAGGAGGCAUGUGCGCAACACGCUGCUCUGGAUCUUUAGCCAUGAUGUAGUUGCUACUCUACUACUGUCUUUCUUUGCAUUCCCUAGUUGCCCCCUUAGUCUGUUGAAAAAUUACAUUUGAAAUCUCUCUUACUGAGGUUUGUAGAAUUUUCAUUUCAGCAAUUUUGUACCAAACAAGUGUAUUCAGAUAUGAAAUGAUGGAUG